CCUACGGGGGGCAGCAGUGGGGAAUAUUGGACAAUGGGGGGAACCCUGAUCCAGCCAUGCCGCGUGUGUGAAGAAGGCCCUCGGGUUGUAAAGCACUUUCAGUGAGGAAGAACGCCUGGUGGUUAAUACCCAUCAGGAAAGACAUCACUCACAGAAGAAGCACCGGCUAACUCCGUGCCAGCAGCCGCGGUAAUACGGAGGAUGCGAGCGUUAAUCGGAAUUACUGGGCGUAAAGCGCGCGUAGGUGGCUUGAUAAGCCGGUUGUGAAAGCCCCGGGCUCAACCUGGGAACGGCAUCCGGAACUGUCAAGCUAGAGUGCAGGAGAGGAAGGUAGAAUUCCCGGUGUAGCGGUGAAAUGCGUAGAGAUCGGGAGGAAUACCAGUGGCGAAGGCGGCCUUCUGGACUGACACUGACACUGAGGUGCGAAAGCGUGGGUAGCAAACAGGAUUAGAUACCCUUGUAGUC
rnacentral:rRNA from 1 species